rnacentral:rRNA from 1 species
GACGAACGCUGGCGGCGUGCUUAACACAUGCAAGUCGAACGGAAAGGCCCUGCUUUCGUGGGGUGCUCGAGUGGCGAACGGGUGAGUAACACGUGAGUAACCUGCUCUUGACUUUGGGAUAACUUCAGGAAACUGGGGCUAAUAUCGGAUAGGAGCUCCUGUUGCAUGGUGGGGGUUGGAAGGUUUCGGCGGUUGGGGAUGGACUCGCGGCUUAUCAGCUUGCUGGUGGGGUAGUGGCUUACCAAGGCUUUGACGGGUAGCCGGCCUGUGAGGGUGACCGGCCACAUUGGGACUGAGAUACGGCCCAGACUCCUACGGGGGGCAGCAGUGGGGAAUAUUGCACAGUGGGCGGAAGCCUGAUGCAGCAGCGCCGCGGGCGGGAUGACGGCCUUCGGGUUGUAAACCGCUUUCGCCUGUGACGAAGCGUGAGUGACGGUAAUGAGUAAAGAAGCACCGGCUAACUACGUG